rnacentral:rRNA from 1 species
UACGUAGGGUGCAAGCGUUAAUCGGAAUUACUGGGCGUAAAGCGUGCGCAGGCGGUUGUGCAAGACAGAUGUGAAAUCCCCGGGCUUAACCUAGGAAUUGCAUUUGUGACUGCACGGCUAGAGUGUGUCAGAGGGGGGUAGAAUUCCACGUGUAGCAGUGAAAUGCGUAGAUAUGUGGAGGAAUACCGAUGGCGAAGGCAGCCCCCUGGGAUAACACUGACGCUCAUGCACGAAAGCGUGGGGAGCAAACAGG